rnacentral:rRNA from 1 species
GAUGAACGCUGGCGGCGUGCCUAAUACAUGCCAGUCGAGCGAACGGACGAGAAGCUAGCUUUUCUGAUGUUAGCGGCGGACGGGUGAGUAACACGUGGAUAACCUACCUAUAAGACUGGGAUAACUUCGGGAAACCGGAGCUAAUACCGGAUAAUAUUUUGAACCGCAUGGUUCAAAAGUGAAAGACGGUCUUGCUGUCACUUAUAGAUGGAUCCGCGCUGCAUUAGCUAGUUGGUAAGGUAACGGCUUACCAAGGCAACGAUGCAUAGCCGACCUGAGAGGGUGAUCGGCCACACUGGAACUGAGACACGGUCCAGACUCCUACGGGAGGCAGCAGUAGGGAAUCUUCCGCAAUGGGCGAAAGCCUGACGGAGCAACGCCGCGUGAGUGAUGAAGGUCUUCGGAUCGUAAAACUCUGUUAUUAGGGAAGAACAUAUGUGUAAGUAACUGUGCACAUCUUGACGGUACCUAAUCAGAAAGCCACGGCUAACUACGUG